rnacentral:rRNA from 1 species
CCUACGGGUGGCAGCAGUGGGGAAUAUUGCACAAUGGGGGAAACCCUGAUGCAGCGACGCCGCGUGAGUGAAGAAGUCUUUCGGUAUGUAAAGCUCUGUCAGCAGGGAAGAAAAUGACGGUACCUGACCAAGAAGCCCCGGCUAACUACGUGCCAGCCGCCGCGUUAAUACGUAGGGGGCAAGCGUUAUCCGGAUUUACUGGGUGUAAAGGGAGCGUAGACGGCAGGGCAAGUCUGGAGUGAAAGGCGGGGGCUCAACCCCCGGACUGCUCUGGAAACUGGCAGGCUGGAGUGCAGGAGAGGUAAGUGGAAUUCGUAGUGUAGCGGUGAAAUGCGUAGAUAUUAGGAAGAACACCAGUGGCGAAGGCGGCUUACUGGACUGUAACUGACGUUGAGGCUCGAAAGCGUGGGGAGCAAACAGGAUUAGAUACCCUUGUAGUC